GAUGAACGCUGGCGGCGUGCCUAAUACAUGCAAGUCGAACGAAACUUCUUUAUCACCGAGUGCUUGCACUCACCGAUAAAGAGUUGAGUGGCGAACGGGUGAGUAACACGUGGGCAGCCUGCCCAAAAGAGGGGGAUAACACUUGGAAACAGGUGCUAAUACCGCAUAACCAUAGUUACCGCAUGGUAACUAUGUAAAAGGUGGCUAUACUACCGCUUUUGGAUGGGCCCGCGGCGCAUUAGCUAGUUGGUAGGGUAAAGGCUUACCAAGGCAAUGAUGCGUAGCCGAAUUGAGAGGUUGAUCGGCCACAUUGGGACUGAGACACGGCCCAAACUCCUACGGGAGGCAGCAGUAGGGAAUCUUCCACAAUGGGUGAAAGCCUGAUGGAGCAACGCCGCGUGGGUGAAGAAGGUCUUCGGAUCGUAAAACCCUGUUGUUAGAGAAGAAAGUGCGUGAGAGUAACUGUUCACGUUUCGACGGUAUCUAACCAGAAAGCCACGGCUAACUACGUG
rnacentral:rRNA from 1 species